rnacentral:lncRNA from 1 species
GGCCAGACUAGGUGGGCUUGUAGGUUAUCUCUGAGAGGUUUUGUUUUUUUUUUUUUUUUUUAAGACUAGCCCAGAUUAGCCUUGAAUUCACUAUACAGAUCAGACUGGCCUCGAAACCAAAAGACAUUGUCUUACUUCAGCCACCAGUGCUAGGGUUACAGAGUUCUGGAUUUUUAACUGUAUUACUCGAUGAGCAAGAGGCUGCUGUGGACAGGGGAUGGGCAGGGUCAUGCCUGCCUACAGACAAGCUCACCUGCCACUUUUAGAUUGGUGGUGAGGUUUGACCGAGGGCAAACUGAAGAAUAAUUCCCAGAGCACAACCGUGCUUGUCGCUCCCUACAUCUAGAACUUGUAUUAGGCUAACCAUGGGGAGAAUUGAAAUAUAUGUGUGUGUGUGUGUGUGUGUGUGUGUGUGUGUGUGUGUGUGUGUGUAUAUAUAUAUUUUUUACUAGUAUUUAAAAGAAAAAUGGACUCUCAGGUGGCAUGGUGUUCAGCCUUACAUAGAGGAGUGAGGCAGAUGAGGGCUCCAGCCCUCUUGUACCUGACAGCAUGUUUGUGAGGUAGUGUCAUAGACUGUCGCAUCCAACACCGGUACACCCCAGGUGCUGUCCAGCUAUCUUACAUGAGCCCUGAUUUAAUCUAGUAUGUCCCUGGAGCAGUAUAGCCCAAUGAAAAAGAAACAGGUGAAAGCAGCUCAAACAAUCUCUUUUUAUUAAACUCAAUAAAUCAGAAGUAUUAUUUCAGGGUGGCAUCCAUAGGAUACUGGAGAACAAGAGAUUUCACUUCUUUUCCCCAAGUCUUUGCAAUCCAGUGUGUAUUCCCCCAAGCAUUGUAUAUAUGUCUCCGUAAUGAAAUGUCCUCGAUUUGGUAUGCUCAAAAGGCACACAUGGCCGGAGGCCUGGUCUGGACAGCACAACCCUGUCCUCACAGACAUCACAGAAUCUGGACUCCCAUGCUCAGUACCGAAAGUGCAGGUCCCUCCCCAACAACUAAGCAGCAGUAUCUCUUACAUCUUAACAUUGAACACCUUGUCUUCAGUGAGUUGUGGAAGUUGUGGGCGUCAAUGUAAGGCUCUGUGCUUCAGUUUUCCAUGAGAAAGGUUCUCACCCCUGACCCUAGCCCCCUGGUUCCAACUGUUACAACACUUUAACACUGUUUCUCGUGUUGUGGUGACCCCCAACCAUAACAUUAUUUUCACUGCCACCUCCUUACUGUAAUUUUGCUACUGUUAGGAGUUGUAAUGCUAAAUAUCUGAUUUGUAGGAUGGUGCUUAGGUGACCCCGUGAAAAGGCCAUUGGACUCCCACUCAACCCCAGGUUGAGAAACUCUGUUCUAGGCUAAGGGAGUUCAAAUGGUUUUUCCUUCUUAGCUUACUUUUGGUUGGUCCUGAUCUUUGGUUGUAAACUCCUCUAUGACAACUGAAAAGUGGGAAAUUAUCUCUUAAAGGGAAAGUGACAGAGCCCCCAGGAGUCUUUUCACACCCAACAAAACAAAACAACAACAAAAGGACUUUGAGAAGGGAAAUUUGAAUACUAACUAGGCACUUAAAUGACUAAUGAAACUAUUGGGUUUCUGUUUUGUUUUGUUUGUUUUGGUUUUGUUUUGUAUCUACAGUACUGUGGCAAAAUUUUCAGAUGAAAAACUCAGAUUAAUAUACAAUCAGCUUUCCACACCUUCAUGUUUUGCUUCCACAGAUCAACCAAACUUGGAUAUAAAAAAAGAAAGUUUUCACAUUGCAUCUAUCUUGAGCAAUACAGACCUUCCCACCAUCAUUUCUUAGGUAACAUAGCAGUUUCUGUAUCACUGAUGUACUAACAAUAAGUAAUCUAGAGAUUAUGUUUACAGGAGGAGAUGUGUAGACUAUAUGCAAAUGGUAUGCCAUUUUAAUUCAUUCAUUCAUUUUUGAGACACGCUCUCACUAUGUAGCCUUGCCUGGACUGCAGCUCAUUUUGUAGACCAGAUUGGCCUGGACCACACAGAGAUCUGCCUGCAUCAGCCUUACAGGUGCUGGGAUUGAAGACAUGGGCCACCAUGCCCACCUGACUGUGCCAUUUUAUAGAAGGGAAUUUUGAUAACUAGGAAACUCUUGCAUCUAAUCUUCCUCUGAAUACUUAGGGGUGGCUGUAUUUAUGGGUGGACCAAUAGGAUGUCAUAGAUGUACUUCCAAAUUACGUAUUUAAUUGGAAGCCAAGGAGGGUAGGAAGGAGUCAAACAAAAUUAGUCAUUGACUAAAACAGCGUGUGAGGCCUAAGUAUCCAUUAUAUUACUCUCUUUGCUUUCACAGGUUGAAUUUUUCCCC